AGGACAAACGCUGGCGGCGUGCAUAAAACAUGCAAGUCGGACGAGCCAAUCCCCGCAAGGGGAAAGGCUAGUGGCGAACGGCUGAGUAACACGUAGGUGAUCUGCCCUGAAGUGGGGGAUAACGACUCGAAAGAGUCGCUAAUACCGCAUGUGACCAUCGAUCCGUUUUCGAUGCUCAAAGUCGUAAGACGCUUUAGGAGGAGCCUGCGGCGGAUUAGCUAGUUGGUGAGGUAAUGGCCCACCAAGGCUUCGAUCCGUAGCUGGUCUGAGAGGAUGGCCAGCCAGACUGGGACUGAGACACGGCCCAGACUCCUACGGGAGGCAGCAGUUAGGAAUUUUGCGCAAUGGGGGAAACCCUGACGCAGCCACGCCGCGUGCGGGAUGAAGGCCUUCGGGUCGUAAACCGCCUUUCUCGAGGAAGACACCCGACGGUACUCGAGGCAUAAGCAACGGCUAACUACGUGCCAGCAGCCGC
rnacentral:rRNA from 1 species